rnacentral:rRNA from 1 species
CUUGCUUUCUUUGCUGGCGACCGGCGCACGGGUGAGUAACACGUAUCCAACCUGCCCUUUACUCGGGGAUAGCCUUUCGAAAGAAAGAUUAAUACCCGAUAGCAUAAUGAUUCCGCAUGGUUUCAUUAUUAAAGGAUUCCGGUAAAGGAUGGGGAUGCGUUCCAUUAGGUUGUUGGUGGGGUAACGGCCCACCAAGACUACGAUGGAUAGGGGUUCUGAGAGGAAGGUCCCCCACAUUGGAACUGAGACACGGUCCAA